UUAUGCUAUAGUAAGUUUUACAUUGAUCCUACCAUUAACUCCAGCUUCCCUAUCUCUUGGCCUGUUAUUACUGGAGAGUGUGCUAUAGAGGGAAAUAAGAAUGACAAGGAAAAAAUCUGCCAUGGAAAAUUUCCUCCUCUUGAGGAGGAUGGUCUUGGGGUAUAAUUUCUCUGUUUAAAAAGACCUUUUUGCGCUUACUUUGUUUGAACAUUCAACUUGGGGCUGCCUCCAAACUGAAGAUAAAUCACAGCAUCAAUUUAAUGUUUAUAUUAAUCUUCUAAUUUAAAUCUCUUUAUCAGUGAAGCCAGUGAGAUUACCCAUGUUCAUGAAGUUAAGCACGUGCAUAAAUGUUUGCAGGAUCAGGUUGGAUCCAUUAAAAUUCAAUGUGCAUGGUCAUCUCAUGCUGGGUAUAAUAUUUCUAUGUGGUUUGAUGGUAAAUCAGGCAAAGCACCUGGGCAAUAUAAAGGUUAAAAAUGAAGGAAACUUGCUGCUUGGAUAUUGUCUAAUCUUUUCUGGAUCAUCAUUUCAAAGUGACGUGGCCUAAAAACUUCAUUUUUAUGUCUUGGUGAAGAUUGGUGCCUUUCAUUAGUUUGGGGGCAUUGUGGGGAUUUAGUUAUUAAAACUGGUUUCCAUGUUUGUUUGGAACUCUGCAGAGUUCUUAACUCGUGUAUUUUUAUGAAGGCUUUAUAAAGGGUCCACGCAGAGUUCUAAAAACCACUACUUAGACCCCUGAGGCCUAGAAAAUUCACAGAAUUAGAGCUUUCCCCCAGAAACCUCCAGGGAGGCAGUCUAAGGAGAAAUGAGCUCUUUGCACAGCCUGCAAAAGUCCACAAAGACCCCACUUCUCACCAACUUUCUCUGACCUAGUAUAGAACUCCAGACACCCUAUAUCCAGGGUCUCCCACAGUCCCAAAAGGACUGCAUUGAGGAUUAUUUAGCCCCCAUAAGAUCGCUUUCUCUUCUUAAUACCUUUUCUUAAAUGAUCAGUUCUUAGUUUUUAUAAUACUAACACUUCUGUAUUUCCCAAACCUUCCAUAUUCGGUGCAAUUUCAUCUAGCAGAUCAGGACACUUACACUUCAGUGUUUGCAAUAGAAAGUGUUUGCUAACCUUAAGCCCUUACAGAGUUCAUUCAGAUGGAGAUUUUUAUAGGAACCUGCUCCUACUUCCUGUCAAAGCAGGAUCUGGGAGGGGCUUAGCAAUGACAUAUGGAGAGGAGAUUCUGCAAGCACCUAUACGCACUUGGUAUUGACAGAGAGCUGGCUGACAUACAUGGGAAAAGAUCCCAAGUGGUGUCUGUUGUCACCACUUGUUAAAAGCUGCACAAAAGAUGCCAUUAGCUUACAGAGCACAGCUGUCAACACCACUGACAACAAGGGCAGCAGAGAGAUUUGAACCACCUCACUGUGCCCCCACCAAAGUGUGCGUUGCAGUAGGUCUCUGACUUCCUAGUCUUUCUUCCUUUCACCAGACAGCAGCAACAGUAAAAGGAGCCAGCUCUUCUUUUUUAAAAUACCACCCUCCAACCUGAAAUUUAAAUGAAAGCCACAACCCUUCUUGGGCUAUGACUAAGAUCUAGCAUAAAAGGGAAGCUGCAUUCACUGUAGCCCUAAAGAAGGGCUUUAAUUUAAUUCAGUUUUUGAUUUGUUCCUUUAAACCAUGUUCAAAAACGUGUCCUAUUGUGUUUAUAUAAACUCUUACAACUCAGCAGUAUAUCUUUGGUUUGAGCUUGGCAUUCAACUUAGUGUUGGUCAAGGUGAACUCUUUGUUCAAAUAUUUAAAAGGGGCAAAGGGCUCUUGUUUUACCACAUUUAUUUUAAGGACUUAAAGUUUUUGUACUUAGAGGAUGGAAACUAUUAGACUAGAAAAUGGUUUAACUCCAUUUGGCAUUUUUAGAUAGCUUGCAUCUUAAUUUGCAAAAGUACAACAUUGGGUAUGGCAACUACUCGUAAAACACAUUUUGAAUGCACAUACCAACAUGUCUUCAAAUGUUUCCAUAUACAAUUAACAAUACGCACCACAGUGUGACUCCAAAGGAAUUCUGUAUCAUAUCGUCUCAUCUAUAGAAUACCUGUUUGUCUUCUGUGUUUAUAAUGGGGAGAUCUAACAUGCAACUGUGGAAUUACAACAUCCAAAGUGGAUUUCCAAUGCAUAAUAUUCAUACUUUCCUGCCCCUCUUUGAACAAAUAACUUUGUCUUUUACAAUGUCCAAUAAGAUUCUAAGAUUGUCAUUCGCUUCAAACUGCGUUGAAUUUUGUAUCAACCAUUUUGUAACAUCACCUUAUUCAAACAACUUUAUCCAGUUUUCUGAUUAUUAUAAAUCCAAUCCAAAUACUCAAACAUUAACAAACUUGUUUGAUCACACUCAUUGUUUUAGGAACUGGUACUAUGGAGAAAAGAGAACUCAAGGUGUUGAAGAUGAAAAAGAAAUCCAUGCUUAUUUUGCAGAAUCAACUCACAUUCACAGUCCAAAGCCAGAAUCUGUUCAGUUUAAUGUGGGACAGGUGAUAAUACACAGAAGAUUUGGCUAUUCAGGAGUCAUUGUUGGCUGGGACGUAAAAGCUAGAGCUCCAGAAGAAUGGCUGCAGCACAAAUAUCCUCCAGAGAAACAGGGUCUAAGAGAUACUCCUCACUACCGAAUUCUUAUUAACCAAGCCAACAGCUUCAGCAAGUCUACAGCUUAUAUUCCUGAGGAGGACAUAACAAUUAUUAUGGGAUUAGAGGUAGUAUCUUUCUUUGUAAGCAUGAAGUCCUUUGUAAUUUUAACUUAUUACCCUUUUGUAAUCAAAAAGGUCUUUGACCUACUCAAUAUAGAAUAAAUAGGUCAACAUUCUGCAAUGGUAGAGAAAGGUCAUAGGAAAAGCAGAUAUGCAAAUGUUACAUAAAUUGUACAGGUGAAAAUGGAAUGAUAUUGCUAUACUUUUUGUAUACAUAUCUUCAAUGGGUAUAGAAUGCUAAUAAUCUUAUUUAGGUGCUGCCUACUUUCACCUUCCUAGGGUCCAGUUGUUUGACCUUGGGAUUUUCUAAAAUAUCAAUUUGGUGCUUGAAUAAAGACUGCGAGUGGAUGAGUCAUUACACAAAGUAAAACCUAUUUCCCCAUGCUAAUUUUUUCCCCAUAC